CACCUAAUAGCUAGCUAAACAACC
rnacentral:rRNA from 1 species